rnacentral:rRNA from 1 species
GACGAACGCUGGCGGCGUGCUUAACACAUGCAAGUCGAACGGUAAGGCCUUCGGGUACACGAGUGGCGAACGGGUGAGUAACACGUGGGUGAUCUGCCCCCUACUCUGGGAUAAGCCUGGGAAACUGGGUCUAAUACCGGAUAUGACCUCCUUCUGCAUGGUUGGUGGUGGAAAGUUUUUUCGGUAGGGGAUGAGCCCGCGGCCUAUCAGCUUGUUGGUGGGGUAAGGGCCUACCAAGGAGACGACGGGUAGCCGGCCUGAGAGGGCGACCGGCAACACUGGGACUGAGACACGGCCCAGACUCCUACGGGAGGCAGCAGUGGGGAAUAUUGCACAAUGGGCGAAAGCCUGAUGCAGCGACGCCGCGUGGGGGAUGACGGCCUUCGGGUUGUAAACCCCUUUCAGUCGGGACGAAGCGAGAGUGACGGUACCGAUAGAAGAAGCACCGGCCAACUACGUGCCAGCCGCCGCAGUAAUAC